GGCUUGGUGGUGGAUGGUCCACAUUCAUUUCAGCUGUAUGUGCAGAUGAUGGUUUAAGCAGAAGAAGCCUGUUCGAAUCAGGCCCGAGCCA